rnacentral:rRNA from 1 species
UGCGUAUUAUUUUAUAAUUUAAUUUUGUUUUCUUGUUUGUUUAUCAAAGUAUUGUUCUGUUGUUGUAUUUUAUUGAUUUAAUUCGUUUUGUUAUAGUUUACUUGUACUGUGAGGGGUUUAAUUUGUUGCUUGUGUAAGUGGGUUUUGUUUGCCGUACCUUUUGUAUCAGGGUUUACUAAUUAUUAUUAUUUAUUUUUUAUUUCCCGAUUCCAAAGGAGUUAAUUGGUUGUUUUAGUUACUGUUUCAUCAGUAUUAAUAACAUUUAUUUGGCAGUGAUAUGUUAGUCGUUUUUGGUGGUAUCUGGUUUCUUAAGAGAUGAAUUUAAUUCACGUUCCUUAUUUGAAUAUCACUUUUUGUUGUUUAAUCUUAUUUGUGACGAAGGUUCUGGGGGAUAAGCUUUGGUUCUAGUUAUUAUAAUGUUUUUUUUGGUGCUGUUUUAGUGGGCUUUAUGGUGGCUAUCUAUUUGAGUAUGUUAAAAUUUUACUCUUGUUGUUUGUGAUUUUCGUUUAUAUUUAAUUAUUUAUUAGGAUGUUUGGUUGAACUUUUUAUCUGUUGUAUUUUUGGUAAGAUUAGUAUAUAUAUAUUUCUUUUAAGUUUAGUUAGAGCAAGUGUUAAGUUUUUCAAAGGAAUUAGGCAAGAUUUAAUCGGCGCCCGCCUGUUUAACAAAAACAUCUCCUCUUGUAGAUAUUUUGAGGUAUGGCCUGCCCACUGAAUUUAUUGAAGGGCCGCGGUAUUUUGACCGUGCAAAGGUAGCAUAAUCAUUAGUUUUUUAAUUUUGAACUGGUAUGAAUGGUUUGACGAGGUGCCAACUGUCUUUGUUAAAAUUGGUUUAGAAUUUAGUGUCUUGGUAAAAAUACCUAGAUUUUGUUAUGGGACGAGAAGACCCUAUAGAGUUUGAUAUAUUUUGCUCUUUUUCAGUUUGUUGGUUCUUGUUGGGGUGGCUAUAUUUUGUUGGGGUGAUGGGAGAAUAUAGUAAACUUCUCUUUUAUGUUUUUCAUUUAUUUAUGUUUGCUUGAUCCUUUAUUAUUGAUUAUAAGAUUAAAUUACCUUAGGGAUAACAGCGUAAUCUUUUUUGAGAGUUCUUAUUGACGGGAAGGUUUGCGACCUCGAUGUUGGAUUAAGAUGAAUUUUUGGUGUAGAGGCUUUAUUAAAUUUAUUAGGUCUGUUCGACCUUUAAAAUCUUACAUGAUCUGAGUUCAAACCGGCGUGAGCCAGGUUGGUUUCUAUCUAUAAUAUUUUUUAAUUUCUUAGUACGAGAGGACCAGAUAUUUGGAAUAAUUUUCUUUGAUGUUUGAAUUUUAGUAAUUU